GCCAGGUGCAGUGGUGCAUGCCUGUUGUCCCAGCUACUCGGGAGGCUGAGGCUGGAGGAUCUCUUGAGUCCAGGAGUUCUGGGCUGUAGUGCGCUAUGCUGAUCAGGUGUCCACACUAAGUUUGGCAUCAAUAUGGUGACCUCCUGGGAGCAGGGACCACCAGGUUGCCUAAGGAGGGGUGAACUGGCCCAGGUCAGAAAUGGAGCAGAUCAAAACUCCCGGGCUGAUCAGUAGUGGGAUCGUGCCUGUGAAUAGCCACUACACUCCAGCCUGGGCAACAUAGCGACGAGACCCCAUCUCU
rnacentral:SRP_RNA from 1 species